GGCCUUGGUGAUGUAAUGGUAGCAUACGCCUCUGGUAUAAGUGAAACGCAGGUUCAACUCUCGUCUAGGUCC